CCUACGGGUGGCAGCAGUAGGGAAUAUUGCUCAAUGGGGGAAACCCUGAAGCAGCAACGCCGCGUGGAGGAUGAAGGUUCUAGGAUUGUAAACUCCUUUUGAUAUAGAAGAUAAUGACGGUAUCUAACGAAUAAGCACAGGCUAACGCCGUGCCAGCAGCCGCGGUAAUAUGGAGGCUGCAGGCGUUACUCGGAUUCACUGGGCGUAAAGGGCGCGUAGGGGGGAUAGGAAGUCAGAUGUGAAAUCCUAUGGCUUAACCAUAGAACUGCAUUUGAAACUGUUAUUCUAGAGUAUGGUAGAGGUAGGUGGAAUUCUUGGUGUAGCGGUAAAAUCCGUAGAGAUCAAGAGGAAUACUCAUUGCGAAGGCGACUUGCUAGAACAUAACUGACGCUGAUGCUCGAAAGCGUGGGGAGCAAACAGGAUUAGAUACCCUAGUAGUC
rnacentral:rRNA from 1 species